UGUGUAUGUAUUCAGCAGCCUGUGUGUAUUCUGCAUUCUGUGUGUUUAUUCAGCAGUCUGUGUGUGUGUGUGUAUUUUAUGUAUGUAUUGCAUUUGUUGGAGGUACCAAUAAAUAUAAGUUUAAUUUUAUUGGGGCCCAUAAUGUUGUUAAGAUGGCACUGGCAGUGAGUGGACAUGUUUAGCAGCGAGUGGAGAUGUGGAGGUGUGAAUCAGUGAGUGGAGAUGUGGAUCAGUGAGUGGAGAUGUGGAGCAGUGAGUGCAGAUGUGAAUUAGUGAGUGGAGAUGUGGAGCAGUGAGUGAGAGAUGUGGAGCACGGAGUACAGAUGUGAAUCAGUGAGUGGAGAUGUGAAGCAGUGAGUGGAGUUAUGGAGCAGUGAGUGGAGAUGUGGAG